rnacentral:rRNA from 1 species
UACGUAGGGGCAAGCGUUGUCCGGAAUCAUUGGGCGUAAAGAGCGUGUAGGCGGCCAGGUAGGUCAGCUGUGAAAACUCGAGGCUCAACCUCGAGACGUCGGUUGAAACCACCUGGCUAGAGUCCGGAAGAGGAGAGUGGAAUUCCUGGUGUAGCGGUGAAAUGCGCAGAUAUCAGGAAGAACACCUGUGGCGAAGGCGGCUCUCUGGGACGGUACUGACGCUGAGACGCGAAAGCGUGGGAGCGAACAGG